rnacentral:pre_miRNA from 2 species
GAUGUGAUUCUUAAAAAUAAAUAUCAGCUGGUAAUUCUGGGAUUUAUAUACGUUUGCAUCCCCCGGAAUUUCAGUUGGUAUCAGUUUUUUCGAAUUA